GCCUUGCUGGUUUAGUUGGCAGAGCAUGGGACGCUUGAUCUCAGGGUUGUGAGUUCAAGUCUCACAUUAGGUG
rnacentral:tRNA from 1 species